AGCAAGCAGGGUGGACGUGGAACUCGGAGGAGAUCGGUUUGAUUCAAAUAAAAGCUGCCCAAGUCUGUCAUCCUCAUCUUUUCGCACUAGUUCUCCCCUUCCUGCCGGAGCUCGCUUUGCCACCAAAAAAAAAAAAAAAUCAUCGAUGUUUCUUCGCCCCACUCAAAUCCCUCGCACACACAUCAUCAACAGCCCUCCCUCGACCGAUUCGAGGAGGUUGUAUCCCCUGUCGUCUACCACCGCUGCUGCAGCGCCGUCGCCAUCUUGCUCUGCUUGCCGUUGUGCAGAAACCUCGGGUCACCGGUCAAACUAUCUAAGUCAAGCUCGACAAGUCGAUGCCCGAGGCUUCAGAAGAGGGAAAAGAAAUUUGAUCAGGAUAAAGCUCGUACAAGAAUUUCAAGUUGAAGUCUCACCUUCCAAAUCGGAGCAAGGCAAGCACCGGAGCAUCUACACCUACUAAUUUUCUAACUAUUAUUGUUAUUUUAUGCUAUCACAUAUGAAUGCUUAAGUCUAGGAGUUGUGCUUGAAAUCUAUUUCAUGCAUGUUCAACUUCCUUGGCUUAAAGACAUCUUUGCCA